CUUGAAUAUUAUUAUAGAAAGAGAUAAACUGUAAACAGCAAUAAUGUUCAGCAAAGUUAGAUUUACAAAUAAGUCAAAUGACCAAAAUGGUCAGUUGACCCCUUUAGGAGUUAUGGACCUUUAUAGUCAAUUUUUAACCGUUUUUCGUAAAUCUUAGAAAUCUUUUACAAAAAUCUUCUUCUCUGAAACUACUGGGCCAAAUUAAUCCAAGCUUGGCCACAAUCAUCUUUAGGGUAUCUAGUUUAAAAAAUGUGUGGUGUGACCCGGCCAACCAACC
rnacentral:lncRNA from 1 species